UAAAACAUCUUAUUUUAUUAAUUACGUGUGUUUUAUGUGCAAAAAUCUCAAUUUGUAAAGUGACUAGUAACUAAAGCUGUCAAGAUUAAUGUAGUGGAGUAGAAAUAGAAAGUGGCAUCAAAAGAAAAGACUCAAGUACUCCAAAUUUGUACUUAAGUACAGUACUUGAGUAGAUUACUUAGUUAUCCACCACUGCUGCCCAGUGACACGCCAUCGGACAACACGAUAUAUGGUCAAUAACAAAGAAAACAUUUAACUGCACAAUGUUAAGUUGGUUUACAUUUAUAAUGCUGGCAUACUCAGCCACUGGUGGUUGUUUUCAGGACGCAAAUUUGUGAUCGUACCUCUUUAAAAAGUAAAAUUACUCAAGCAUGUUCUUAUGAAAAGAGCCACCAGGUAUGUCUUGAUCUGAUUUGCAGAAAUAUGACACCGUCCUGCUCAUAUUCAUCUGUUAAAUACUUAAAAGAUAUUGCUGCCCCGGAGAAAAUUCAUUCAAAUGAAAUAUUUUUAUG